AGCAUCAUUUUGUAUUUUAUGGAUCUUCUACUGAGUUAUUUCAUUGCCGACAAUUUGUCUUUUUCCUUUAGAGCACUACCCACACGACGCUCAUUCAUAAGCAGUACCACUAGCUCCAGCUACAUGUCCGGGAGGUGAAACAGGAGUAGGACGAGGUGAGGAAGAGAAUAGAUGAGCUGGGAGCCUGGCUGAAGGCCGCCGUUAGGGAGUUGAAGAGCUUGCAAACUUAAUGCAAAGUAGCUCAACUUUGGGUUGUCGAGGCU
rnacentral:lncRNA from 1 species